rnacentral:rRNA from 1 species
UACAGAGGGGGCAAGCGUUGUUCGGAAUUACUGGGCGUAAAGGGCGCGUAGGUGGCCUUCUAAGUUGAACGUGAAAUGCCCUGGGCUCAACCCAGGAACUGCGUCCAAGACUCGGGAGGCUUGAAUCCGGGAGAGGGAUGCGGAAUUCCAGGUGUAGCGGUGAAAGUGCGUAGAUAUCUGGAGGAACACCGGGUGGCGAAGGGCGGCAUCCUGGACCGGGAUUGACACUGAGGCGCGAAAGGCCAGGGGAGGCAAACCGGGGAGUUAGAAAACCCG